UUCCUACGGGAGGCAGCAGUAGGGAAUAUUGCUCAAUGGGGGAAACCCUGAAGCAGCAACGCCGCGUGGAGGAUGAAGGUUUUCGGAUUGUAAACUCCUUUUGUUAGAGAAGAUAAUGACGGUAUCUAACGAAUAAGCACCGGCUAACUCCGUGCCAGCAGCCGCGGUAAUACGGAGGGUGCAAGCGUUACUCGGAAUCACUGGGCGUAAAGAGCGCGUAGGCGGGAUAGCAAGUCAGAUGUGAAAUCCUAUGGCUUAACCAUAGAACUGCAUUUGAAACUGUAUUUCUUGAGUGCUGGAGAGGG
rnacentral:rRNA from 1 species